rnacentral:rRNA from 1 species
GACAGAGGUGCCAAGCGUUAGGCGGGAUCACUGGGCUUAAAGCGUGUGUAGGCGGACUUCUAAGUACCUUGUGAAAUCCCCCGGCUCAACCGGGGAACGGCUGGGUAUACUGGGAGUCUUGAGCCAGCUAGGGGUCGCCGGAACAAGUGGUGGAGCGGUGAAAUGCGUAGAUAUCACUUGGAACGCCAAUGGUGAAAACAGGCGACUGGGGCUGUGCUGACGCUGAGACACGAAAGCCAGGGGAGCGAACGGG